UUUUUUUUUUUUUUUUUUUUUGGUUUGGUUUGGUUUAAGUUGUUUGUUUUUCAAGAUAGGUUUUUCUGUGUAACCUUGGCUCUCCUGGAACUUGUUCUGUAGACCUGCCUUUGAACUUGAGAGCUGCCUGCUUCUGCCUCCUGGGUAUUGGGCUUAAAGGCAUGUGCCUCCACCAUCUUGUUUAGGUUCUUUCUUUCUUUCUUUCUUUUUUUUUUAAUUUUCUGACAGUUCCGUACAUGCCUAUAAGGAAUUGUAGUAAUUCACCCGGUGCCAUUUCAACUUCUCCUCCCUUCUUCCUUGUGAAGGGUUUCUUAUGUAUUCCCUUCCUGAAGGAUAAACGGAGAAGCAGGGCGAUGCAAUGAGGCCCUGAGGUCUUACAGCUAACCACACACAGAUUUGUGGUUAUUUGCCUCUGCAUUAUAAUUUUAGAUGUGUGCUGUAGACAGCAUCUCUGGCCAAGCCAGUUGGUAAAACGGUCAUCAGCUAGGAAGUGAUGGAAAAUCCACACUAUACUCAGUUAGGCGAGAGAAACCUGUGUUCUUAGUUGCUAGUUUGAAUUAUUAACCAAAGAAAGGAAAUUGUUUACCAACAACUAAUUGUCCACUCAAGCUUAUCCACGGUCUCCUGAUCUGUUUUGAGUUCUACGUCUUUUGAGCCUCGGGUAUAUAUUUAUCGUUUAUGUUUAUUUACUUUGGGUUUUGGUUGUAGCAUGGAGCCUAGAGGCUAGGGCAUGCUAGACAAAUAAAUGAUGUACCAUUGAGCCACAUACCCAACCCAUAUUUAGUUACUUCCUAUUCCUUUUUAAGAUUCCUCCAAAGCUCAAGUGAAGUCCAGAGCCCAGCAGUGCCGUCUUCCUCUCGACAGGCUGCUGCCCAGUCUCCUCGAACUGGGGCUGAGUUCCCCAGGUUGGAAGGAACUGCAACCCCACGGAUGCCCAAGCUGGGCAGAGGCAUCUCAGAAGGGGACGAUGUUCUCUUCUUUGAUGAUUCACCACCACCAAGACCAAAACUGAGCGCAGCAGCAGAAGCUAAAAAGGUAGCUGGGGUGUCGGGCAGCCAACGGGGUGCUUACUAUGUAUGCGUGAGGACCUAAGCUUGGAUCCCUAGCACUCAAGGAAAAAGCCAGGCAUGGUGGCUGCAUGUGACCCUGGGGACAGGCAGGAAAGUUAAGGAUUUAUUUAUUUUUGCUGGCUUCUGUCUUCAUUGCUUGGCUUUGCAUUCUGUGACGAAAUGGUGUUAACCAAUCAUCCUACAUAGUUCCAAAGCAAGUGCAAUGUGAAUGGUAUCAGCAUAGAGCCGCUGAGCUUAUCUACGAACUCAGAGCCAUCACUGCUAUACAUACAGUUCCUUGUCAGUCUGGAGGAGGCAGCCCCCAGGAAGGUAUUGUUCUACAGCUGGAGACAGUAGCCUUAGGACUACAAACUGAUGGUGCAAAGUUCAGCCUCUUAAUCAGGGCUGCAACUGCACUGGGGCUCUCGUAACUGAAGUUAGGAGUUGUGAAAAUUCUAUUACUGAUUAAAGGUUAUGAACACAGUGUGCAAAAAUUAACUCACAGUCAAACACAGAACAAAUCCAGGCUAUUCGUGGUAAUCCUUGCCUGUGCUGAUGGAGAGACGUCACUACAGGCCUGCUUCUGAACCUUCCACGUGCGCACUUUGUCUGACAUCUCAGCACGUGGCACCAAGGAGCACUGUGACACCUGGCUCAAGGUCCAUGCUGGUUUAUGUAAUCGUCUGCAAUGGUUUUGGUACAUGCUCAGUUUUCUACUCUUGAAAAUGAUUUAAAUAUGGAAAUUCAACAUAAUGGCUUGUUUACAGCAAGCAAAGACAUUUAAUAUUUCCCUGCUGUUAUUCCUCAGCAUGGAAGUAUCAAAAGUAAAAGUCUCUGAAAUGUAUUGUUAGAACAUUUGAUUUUAAAAGUUGCUAAAUGAAUUUUUGGAUAGACUUUCCAAAAAUUUCCAAAAGUGCCCUAAACAUACUUCUGCCAUUUCAUAUUGCGUAUUUCUCUGAAACAUCAUUUUUAUCUAUGUGUAGACUUAUUUUUGUCCCAUCAACUUUUAGUGCCAUCUUUUGUGUGUGUGCAUGCACAUGCCACCCAUGUGGUCGGCAGACAGCUUGCAGGAAUAGGUUCUCCGCAGCUACCGUGUGCGUUCUCAGGUUAGAGUUCAGGCAGCGGGCUUUGCACACAGGGCCGUCUCACAGCCCAAUUUCUGUUAGAGAACCAAGGGCUGUGGUCUGCAGUAUCUCAACUGACUGUCUAUCUGUUUGUUUCUAGUUAGCUGCUAUUGCAAAAUUAAGGGCAAAAGGCCAGAUUCUCACAAAAGUAGAUCCAAACAAUACUGUAAGGAAGCAAAUGGAUGGCCGAGCCAUGCUGGGAGUGAAGGAGCGUGUGGAGAAUAGCAACACAGUUUCUCCUGAAGGUAUUGUGGCGUCGCCGUCAUGGUGGGGGACAGAGCCUGUUUAGAGAAGACAGGGUCUAAGCACAGCUUACCCUCCAACAUCAAGUGUUAGUGUGGGUCUCAAUAGUCCAGGUUGCCUCGCUCCAGCUCUGUCUUCCUGCUCCAGAGUCCUGAGGACUGGGUUUCCAGUCACUGCUGUAUCACAUGAACUUGGAAUGGAAUUGUGCACAGUCUGAGCAGGUGGCAAAGGGUUGUUCCCUGGAUCUUUAUGCAUUUUAUAGUAACAUAAGAUUUUUGAAAGCAAUUGCUGUUUUUACUUUUUAAAGCACGGGAACUCUAAAUGUCAUUUAAAAUAGGCUUAUAAGUCAACUUUUUGUUCUUCUGUCACCAUAAUCAGAAGUAAAGAGUGUCUCUUCUUGUCAAGAACUCCACCUUGGUCUAUGCUCCUUAAUCUCUGCUCGAUUUUUGGUUACUGUUUGUUUGUUUAAACAAAGUCUCGGGCUGGUGAGAUGGCUAGGCAGGUAAGAGCACUGACUGCUCUUCCAAAGGCCCUGAGUUCAAGUCCCAGCAACUUCAUGGUGGCUCACAGCCACUGGUAAAGAGAUCUGAAGCCCUCUUCUAGUACGUCUGAAGACAGCUACAGUGUACUUCUGUAUAAUAAUAAAUCCAUCUUGGGGCCAGAGUCAGCAGGGACUGAGCGAGCGGAGUUGACCGGAGUGAGCAGAGGUCCUAAAAAAUUUCAACUCCAACAACCACAUAAAGGUUCCCAACAGCUCCAGUGUACUCAUAUAC
rnacentral:lncRNA from 1 species